rnacentral:misc_RNA from 1 species
UGUAGGAGUGAGCCUGCUCGCGAUAGCGUUGUGUCAGUCGACAUCAAUGUGUCUGACAUACCGCUAUCGCGAGCAGGCUCACUCCUACA